rnacentral:rRNA from 1 species
GACGUACGCUGGCGGCGUGCCUAAUACAUGCAAGUAGACGCUGAAGGGAGGAGCUUGCUCUUCUGGAUGAGUUGCGAACGGGUGAGUCACGCGUAGGUAACCUGCCUGGUAGCGGGGGAUAACUAUUGGAAACGAUAGCUAAUACCGCAUAACAGUAGAUGUCGCAUGACAUUUGCUUAAAAGGUGCAAUUGCAUCACUACCAGAUGGACCUGCGUUGUAUUAGCUAGUUGGUGAGGUAACGGCUCACCAAGGCAACGAUACAUAGCCGACCUGAGAGGGUGAUCGGCCACACUGGGACUGAGACACGGCCCAGACUCCUACGGGAGGCAGCAGUAGGGAAUCUUCGGCAAUGGACGGAAGUCUGACCGAGCAACGCCGCGUGAGUGAAGAAGGUUUUCGGAUCGUAAAGCUCUGUUGUAAGAGAAGAACGAGUGUGAGAGUGGAAAGUUCACACUGUGACGGUAUCUUACCAGAAA